UACGUAGGGGGCAAGCGUUGUCCGGAAUUAUUGGGUGUAAAGAGCUCGUAGGCGGCUUGUCACGUCGGAUGUGAAAUCCCGAGGCUCAACCUCGGGCCUGCAUUCGAUACGGGCUAGCUAGAGUACUGCAGGGGAGACUGGAAUUCCUGGUGUAGCGGUGAAAUGCGCAGAUAUCAGGAGGAACACCGGUGGCGAAGGCGGGUCUCUGGGCAGUAACUGACGCUGAGGAGCGAAAGCGUGGGGAGCAAACAGG
rnacentral:rRNA from 1 species